rnacentral:rRNA from 1 species
UAGGGAAUCUUCGGCAAUGGACGAAAGUCUGACCGAGCAACGCCGCGUGAGUGAAGAAGGUUUUCGGAUCGUAAAACUCUGUUGUUAGAGAAGAACAAGGACGUUAGUAACUGAACGUCCCCUGACGGUAUCUAACCAGAAAGCCACGGCUAACUACGUGCCAGCAGCCGCGGUAAUACGUAGGUGGCAAGCGUUGUCCGGAUUUAUUGGGCGUAAAGCGAGCGCAGGCGGUUUCUUAAGUCUGAUGUGAAAGCCCCCGGCUCAACCGGGGAGGGUCAUUGGAAACUGGGAGACUUGGGUGCAGAAGAGGAGGGUGGAAUUCCAUGUGUAGCGGUGAAAUGCGUAGAUAUAUGGAGGAACACCAGUGGCGAAGGCGGCUCUCUGGUCUGUAACUGACGCUGAGGCUCGAAAGCGUGGGGAGCAAACAGG